UGGGGAAUUUUGCGCAAUGGGCGAAAGCCUGACGCAGCGACGCCGCGUGUGCGAUGAAGGCCUUUGGGUCGUAAAGCACUGUCGAGCGGGAAGAAAACCUCCCGGUUAAUACCCGGGAGGCUUGACGGUACCGCUAAAGGAAGCACCGGCUAACUCUGUGCCAGCAGCCGCGGUAAUACAGAGGGUGCAAACGUUGCUCGGAAUUACUGGGCGUAAAGAGCGUGUAGGCGGUCUGUUAAGUCGACUGUGAAAGCCCAUGGCUCAACCAUGGAAGUGCGGUCGAUACUGGCGGGCUAGAGUCCCGGAGAGGGUGGUGGAAUUCCCAGUGUAGAGGUGAGAUUCGUAGAUAUUGGGAGGAACACCGGUGGCGAAGGCGACCACCUGGACGGGUACUGACGCUGAGACGCGAAAGCGUGGGGAGCAAACA
rnacentral:rRNA from 1 species